rnacentral:tRNA from 1 species
ACCUGGAUGGCUCAGUCGGUUAAGCGUCUGACUUCAGCUCAGGUCACAAUCUCAUGGUUUGUGGGUUCAAGCCCCCACAUCAGGCU